CUCGGAAGUCUCUGAGGGAGUCAGCUUUAAGCAGGGCAUUUGUAAGCUGAGUGUCAGUUUGAGUUCUCCUAAGAUCUAUUAAAAGGAUCUUAUGAAGAAAAACUCUACUCACCCAGGCUUUGAGGGUUGCCCCAGUGAGUGAACACCAGCUGCUUCUCACCUCAUCUGUGGACUGCACGGUGAAGCUGUGGCGCUUAGAAGGGGAAUAUGUAGGUACAUUUGGUCAAAAAGAUCUGUGGAACAUCAAGGAUAAAAUGUCCUGGCAGAGCAGGCCUAAUCCAAACAGCCACACUACUCCAGCUGCACCUGCUAGGCAAGUGUCGGCAAUAAAACCAAGCUGUGCCACAGGAAGGGAAGAUGAGGCAAACAGCG